rnacentral:rRNA from 1 species
GACAGAGGCCUCGAGCGUUAGGCGGAAUCACUGGGCUUAAAGCGUGUGUAGGCGGGCCCGUCAGUACCUUGUGAAAUCCCACGGCUCAACCGUGGAACCGCUGGGUAUACUGCGGGUCUUGGGCCGACUAGGGGCAGCCGGAACAAGCGGUGGAGCGGUGAAAUGCGUAGAGAUCAGCAGGAACACCCGUGGCGAAGGCGGCCCCCUGGGCCGUACCUGACGCUGAGGCGCGAAGGCUAGGGGAGCGAACGGG